GGGACACGUGGUAUCCUGUCUGAAUAUGGGGGGACCAUCCUCCAAGGCUAAAUACUCCUGACUGACCGAUAGUGAACCAGUACCGUGAGGGAAAGGCGAAAAGAACCCCGGCGAGGGGAGUGAAAAAGAACCUGAAACCGUGUACGUACAAGCAGUGGGAGCACGCUUAGGCGUGUGACUGCGUACCUUUUGUAUAAUGGGUCAGCGACUUAUAUUCUGUAGCAAGGUUAACCGAAUAGGGGAGCCGAAGGGAAACCGAGUCUUAACUGGGCGUUAAGUUGCAGGGUAUAGACCCGAAACCCGGUGAUCUA
rnacentral:rRNA from 1 species